rnacentral:lncRNA from 1 species
GACUAUUACAACAUUUAAAUUAUUUCAAGUAACUUUUUUUAAUAUUAGAUUUUUGAAUAACAUUUAGUUGUCUUUCCAUUCCAUUUCAGAUUAAUAUUUACUUUGUUGAGAGACUUCUUUAUGGAUAAGACUCGGAUUCGUGAGCCUAGACUAAGCAAGUCAUAUCUUGAUGGAGUCAUACAAUUCCUUGAUUUUGCCUUUGCCAAUGCAUCUCUUGGGGGG